rnacentral:lncRNA from 1 species
CACUUUCUCUUUAAAGGUAAUAUUUCGAAUGUGAAAGAUUCAAACCAUUUAUAUAAAGUAUACCCAGUAAAGCUUGAUGAUUUGUAAAAUAUUUAAUUGUUUUAUAGAUUAGGUAUCAGGUUAUCUUAAAACAACUAUUACUUACAGCUGAACUUUUUGAGGAGAUAUGGGACCAUAGAGGUGGAUUUGAUCAUAAACAGAGUAUUUGAUUGAGUAUUGAGGAGCAAAAUAAUUUAGUCUGAAAUACUAGAAAGUAGAUCAUUUUUUUCAUUCUCGAGGAAGUGCAUAUAUCUUAAGUGUUGAUCUUUUUUUUUUUGUUGUGUGUGUAGAGAAAUCUGCUAAAGAAAUAGUAGAUCAGUAACCGGAUUUUAGACAUGAAAAAGUAAGAACUCAGCGGGACCUUACUGCUCUAAUCAAACAAAGGAGGGUCCCGCUGAGUUCUUACUCCAUAUAGCGAAACUUUGAUCUACUCCCUAACAUACAAAUUGGAAAGUUAUCCAGUAAACAUAACCGAUAUUGCUCAUCAUCAUUUAGCUAUUGCAUUUAUUUUUCUCGUUGCUGGGCAUAUGUGUACAUUUAUAUCCCUUGUAUUGUUUGCCUCCCACUGCACCUAGUCUUGGUGCUUAAGGAUAACACCUACCGGGUAGGUUGCAUAUGUGUAUGCACAACUUUUGGUCUGUUUUUCUCCUGUCAAACAUUGAUGUUUGUGUGGUAGUGAAUCUGAUACAUAGGUGGCAGCUAUUUCAAUGAGAAAAGCAGAUGAAGGAUUGUGCACACCCUUAUGCGGCUUGUUCAGAAUUGGUGCUGUUUUUUCCAUGAUAUAGACAACUUAUGUAUUUUCAUUUUUAUAUUAUUUUACAUCCCUAACUGUUUUCAAGUGGACAAUACAAUGCAAAUUCUAGUUUGUAAUUGUGUAUAUCCAAAUUAGUUGCUAUUUGUUUCACCAAAAAAUUUAGUUGCUAUUUGGGCUUUUAUAGAAUGACAGGACACAGAGAUUGGAAACUGAUACUAAUUUGCGGUUUGUCAGAAUUUCUUUGAGAAAGAUCAUUCAUAGGACUUAUCUCUUUUAUUUAAGGCUCUGUUUAGUUGCUGAUAACAUGAAAGAAAAGAAAGAUAUUUUAGCAGAAGAAAAGAAAAGAAAAGAGAGAAUGGAAAGAAAAAAAUGGAGUGUUUUCUGUGUUUGGUUGUAAUAAAAUUAGAGAGGAAGUUGUUAAGGAAGCAGUUGAGGAAAGAAUAAUAGGACAAUAAAAAGAGAAUUAAAUUUAUUUUCUGAAUGAGCAGAAAAUAAUCAGCCAGAUGUUGAGCACUGUAUUAUUGCGUUUGGAAAAUUGCAGCUCUGUCUUUCACAGAUAAUACAUCUUUUUUCUUUUUAAAUCUAUUGUAUGCUAUCCAUUUUUGACUUAGGGAUUUUAUUUCAUUUUGGAAGGAUAUAGAGAAUGGCCUUUGUUGAUGAAUCCAAUUCCCUAUGUUGAAAUUGCUCAGUCAUUCUUCAUCUAGACUAGGGGAGUUUUAGUUUGUGGCUCAUUCUUAGUCAUAUUCUACUAUAAGCUUGAUUUUCACUUGCAAAUCAGUCAUUUGCUUUUUAUGCUGAAAUCUCUCUGGCACAGUUGCCUAUAUCUCGCACCAGCGCAGUUACCUGAUGUCAUGUUGAGAGCUGAUUAUCACUUGUUUUCAAGUUUUAUGUGCAUAUCUUGAUUUGUAAGCAAACCAUAUAUAAAUGGAUAAUAUUUUGGUUGUUGAUGUGCAUGAUAUCUUUUUCUGUUUUGCAUUGGUUUCUAGCUUUCUUCAUCAUUUCACAUGUGUACACCUAUAAGCAUAUUGUUGUCCAUGGGCAUGCCAUAUUUGAUUUAAUUUUAGUUACCUUUUUCUUCACUUUCGUCCAUAGAAGUUAAUUUGACUCAAAUUAUAAUACCUAUUCACUCUUUUAUUUUGGAACACUACAAUUUAUGCGAGCCAAAAUGGCCCUAAACAAUCUAGAUCCCAUCCUUGGAUCAAGAUCAGUGUAGGAUGACAAGAUUUAGAACCUUAUGAUGGAUUAUACAUUCCCUUGGAUCAUAUGAUCCAACUUGAUAAUACUGAUUGACAUAGUACAUCAUGUGUGUGUCCAUUUUCCAUUUUUAUAUGACUUUACUUAUCAACAAUAAGUCUCUAGCAGGCAAUUUAGCAAGUCCAUUAUCGAAGUUCAUAGUGUUAAAAACAAGAUGCCAUUUUUUGUAUUUUUUGGCCAUAUGUUAAAGUCUUGUCCCCUUUUCUAAUAAAUUCUACCUAAAUGAUAAAAAAUAGAUAGAUAAUAUACAAAUUUCUUGAAUAACCAAACAAAUUAUUUGUUUCAUUAGACAUGCUAUAUAUGGGUCUAUAUUGGUGAAAAUUAGACAUUUUGUAUAUAUGGCUUUCUAUUCACUGUCAAUUUACUUUAUAGUUGAUCAUAUCACAAUUUUUCAUGUUAUUUUAUACUUAAAAAGUUUUGAAAGUAAUGAGAAGAAAAAUCUUACAAUUUGCAAUGUGAUCCAUGAUGCUAUCCGAUCUAGCCCCCCCUAUGAUUUAUGACUCAAUUUUGAUGUUAACAACAAUUGUCCAUUUCUCAUUGCUUCUUCCCUGCAGUUACUUCUUGGCUUAUAUGACCCUUUCUUAAUGGAAUGAUGUAACUUGGGUCAUAUUUAUGGAGCAUAUUAUGGAACAAUCUGAAUCACCUUGUAAAGAAUCACAUAUAUAUUGUGUACUUUAUCGUAUCAGUUUCUCCCAGACAAACAAAUAGAGAUCUGUAUGAUCAAUUUUUCCUUCUUUGUGCCAAUUGAUCAUCUCUUCGCUUCCUUCCUCUCCACCUUGUUUCUUCAUUGGGUAUCAUAAGUGAAUCUUCUUCCUUGAUCUUUUAACUAAGUAAUCUUAGUGUGAAACAAAUAAUAUUUAUUUAGAAUGAGAGUAGCAAUUACCAUUACUUAGAAAUAUUAGUGAUGAGAAAACCUAAGAGAAAUGAUGAUUCUGCUGGUUGACAAAUUUAAAAGUCCUUUAGGCAUUUCGGCUGAAUAUGAUAUUUGGCGUUUUUCUAAGAUCCCAGAUCUUAUCAUCUUAAUGCUUCUGUCAUCAUGCCAACCAGAAGUAAUUCAAUGUAAAUAUACUAGUGGUAAGUUGGAUUUUUUGUUUUGGUGACGAGUAGCUUUUUCCAUUCUAUAUCAAAGCUAGUUCAGAUGCCUUUGUUUAGAGUUUUUGGUAUUGUAAGUCAUUAUUUAAUAGUAGAUGAUGGAUAGUAAUGAAGCUCUUUGGAGAGUUAAUACAAUAGAAGAGUUUUAUGAAUGGGAGUUUGCUAGAUCACUCGUUAGAUUUCAUGAUAAUUUUUCUGAAAAUUUGUGUCAGUAGUUCCUUUUGGAAGAAUUCUGAAGAAACAGUAAGUUGUCUAGGUAAUGUUUUAUGGGGUCCUGCUUGGAUUUCUACACUAAGUGUCCCUGUGAUUGGGCAUGUGGGAGGGAGGGCUUGAUGAGAGGACGUUAUCCCUAGCUCUCUCUAUGUCUCGGAUCUCGCUUCCUGAUAUUCCCCUAAUCAAUUACUUGAGGAAUCUAAGAAAGAGAAAAAGUUGUCCCAUUGAAACAGCCCUUCAAACUCAUUUUCCCUAAUUUUUGAGAUCAAAUCACCUUUUAGUUGAAUUCCACAUCCAGAAGAUUGGGGGUGGGUGGUUCAAUGGGUUCUCUUGAUCCCACAAAAUUCUAUCCUUUGUAGCUAUUUCUCCUCACUUGUUUCGCCAACAUGAGUUUAUUAGCAGGAUAAACAAGAUAUCCAUCCACACAAGCUUACAAACGUAGCUCUUCUCAAUGAUGGAGGACCAUGAAGCACGAAAAUGGAUAUAGGAUGUGCAUACGACACGAUACAGAACUGCAGAUAUGAAAGAAGCAGGAUAUGAUAUAACUAGGAUACCCUAAUCAAUAUGUAUAUCAAGAUUCACAGUACUGGAACCGGCACCCAUGCUGAUAGGCCAGUGGUACAAUAUGGUACCAUGUCGUGUUGUUUCGACAUGUAUUGACAAAGAGAAACCAGAGAGGGGAGGGGAGAGGGAGGAGGAAAAGAGAGAGGGAGCGAGGGAGGGAGAGAGUGGGAGAGAUGUUGGGAGAGGGAGAGAGAGGUGGCUCAGAUGCCCUUCUCUCCUUUGCUUGUCUGCAGGNNNNNNNNNNNNNNNNNNNNNNNNNNNNNNNNNNNNGGCGAAAAAGAGAGAGAGAGAUGGAGGGAUGAUGGGAGGGAGAGAGAGGGAGAGGGAGGGGGAGAGUAAGAGAUAUCGGGAGAGCGGGAGAGAGAGGGGGAUCGGAAGCCUUCCUCUCCGCUCAUCUACAUGGCCUAUUGGGCAAAACCCUUGUUUCGAAUGAAGCAAGUGCUCGAUCCCAAAUUUUUUAAUUUUUUUUUGUUCUUUAAGAGAAGUCGGCAAAGAAUGUCUCUUUGCCAACUUCACCACAUUCUUUGCCGACUUCACUGUGCCGACUUUACUUAAAGAAUAGGAAAAAGUUAAAAAAAUUGGGAUUGAGCCUUUGUUUUGUUUGAAAUAGGGGCUCUGCUGAAAUAGAGGCUCCACCCAACAGGCCUUGCGGAUGAGCAGAGGAGAAGAGGGCUUCUGAGUUCCCUCUCUUUGCCUCUCCCGGCAUCUCUCUCUGCCCCCUCCCUCUCCCUCUCUCUUCUUCCCUCACUCUCUCUCUCUUUUUCUCUCUUUCCUUCUCCCUCUCCCCUUCGCUCGUUUGUUCUUGAACCAAGGGGUGGAACCAUGCGUACGGCUCGGUACGCACCAACUGGGAAUUUAGGGCGGUAUGGUGGUCCUUGAUGCAUAUAUAUGCAUGUAUAUAUAUUUAUAUAUUCAUACAUGCGUAAGUACAUACAUACACAAGUAUCAAUAUGUAUGUAUGUGUGUAAAAAUGUAUAUAGAUAAGUGUAUGGAUAUAGAUAAACAUAGGCUGAGGGAUGUCGUCAGUAGGAACGAAUGAUUUGAUAUAUGUAGAAGGAACUACGAGUCUAGAGGUAUACCCAAAUCAUAUGGGAUGAAGUAGUAAAGGACUUGACUUUUUUAACAUCUUUCAGAAAGUAUGACUAUAAAUCGAGUAGAAUGGGAGAAAAGAAUUCAUGUAGCCGACUCCAACUAGUUUAGUUGUUGAGCUGAUUUGGAGCAAGGAUCGCUGAACUGACUCGAAUUGGGUGGUUUGGCCUGUACUGAUUGAACAACACUAUAUUGGGACGGUUCGGCAAAGCAGGCUGGUUUGAGUUUUAAAACACCUUCCUUGGUUUAAACCAUCAAGUGUUCGAGAGGCAUUGAGGGUUCUCUUGCUCACUCUCUCCCUCUCUCUCUCCAUUGGAUGCUCGCUCUUUCACUUUUUCUCUUUGUUGGACAGUCACUCUAGGUAAGCCUCUCCCCCCUCCCUCUCUUCGUCGAAUGCUUGCUCACUUGCUCUCUCUCUCUCCUUGUUGGAUGCUCACUGCUUGCUCUCUCUCUGCCAUAUGCUCACUUUCUCUCUCUCUACCACCCUCUCUUCCGCCGUCAAAUGUUUGCUCACGCUCUCUUGUUGAAUGCUCACUAAAGGUAAGCCUUCCCCAUCUCUAUCUCUUUGUCCCUCUUCCUCCCUCACUCCCUCCUCUCUCUUCAUCCCUCUCUUUCUCCCUCUUUGUCAUGGUUUGGUACACCUUGGCUCGGUACAGUACCUAUCGGUACAGUGCCGAACUAGUUGCCGGCCAGUACGAGCCCCGAUACUAGUCUCGCAAGCUUUAUGUAGUUUUAUGCGUGUAAGAAAGUCUCCAUAAUGCAUGGUAGGCUAUCAAAAUAUAAUCCAUGCUUUACAUGAUAAUGUUACAAGCUCAUCAUGUAGUCGUCUUUCAAAGCCUUACUCGAAUUCAUACUUCAUAUUUACAUAUUGACAUCAUAGGCUACAAAAUUGACUAUUCAUCAUUUAAAGUUUAAUACUAAAAGAACGAAAAUGCCUCUUGCUCAUUUGUGGAGUUUUUUGGAAGUAUCUCGAAUGUAUCUGGGAAGUAUCUAGAGUAUUUUUUUUUUGAAUUUUGAAAAUGGGAUUCUUUACAAAAGUAUCAGAUACGUAUUCGAGAAGUAUUUGACAAGUAUCGGUACCUGAUAUGUAUCCAAUGUGGACAAAGCAAGUGAUUUGAUAUCUGUGCUUUAUAAAUGACGGACUACCAGCAAUCUUGGAUGUUGGUAAAGCAUCAUAAAAUGUUAUCAUUUGGAUGUUGUGAAGAUCUUUGUUGAAUUAUUAAAAUUAAGAGGGCAUCGAUAGUUCUUUUUUCAUUUCAGUGGACAUAGGUGGGGAUUCUGUUGCUUAUGUUAUUCUGCAAACUGAAGGAAGUGGCUUGCUUUAUAAAUUAUGGUGCAUGGAAAAUAGAACAUGGAAAGAGGUGUUAGUGGGUUCUAGUGGUGGUUUUCUGUUUAAGAAUUCAACAUAGAAAGUGAUGACUCCAUUUCCUAUGGGUUCCUCUAAAGUGGCGUCUGAUCUUUGAUAUGGGUUUAAUGGUAAGGUUGAAAUUUGUUAUAGGAAUAAUUUAAAAGAUUUCUCAAGGUUUUAAAUUGAUAGUGAAUUUCAUAAUGCUUUUUGGUAUUGUUUUGGUAGGUUACUAGGAAAGCCAAUUAGGUGCCAAUUUUUUACUUAAGUGAUUUCCUCUAGUAUUUUAUUCUUUUCUUCUAUUUAGCCUUCUAGUUCCUUAAGGAGCUGUUGAGGAUGUUGGUUCAAAAUAUCCUUAAAAUUUUUCCAUGUAAGGUUGCUGUUGCUGGUUAUAAAUUAGUUAAUGUUGGGAGGGAAGAGUCCUGGUUGGGAAAUCUAAAUGUGAGGUUGCCAAAAACCUGGGAUAAGAAAAACCACCUUUCUAGUGGAACCAGGUAUUCUUUUUAUCUCGGAUUGGAGGCUCUAUGGAUGCUAUGAGGUGAUCUUUAUUCCCUGAAGUGCUCUCUCGUUGCUUGCCUUCCCCUCUCUUCCAGCUGAAGUGUUUGUUUAUUCAAUGACACUCCAUGCUUGCAUCCAAACAGGCCUUAAGGAGUAAUGUUUUUCUGGAACAACAAGAUUCAUAUAGUCACUCUAGUAACUCAAAAAGUAUAGGCGGCCUCCCUCCAUCAACUAGCAAGCUACUUGGGAUUUAUACAUAUGGACUGUACGCUCCCUCGAUAAACUAGUAAGCUACUUGGGAUUUGUACAUAUGUGGACUGUACACAAUAUUAUAGGGAGAGGAUCGCUGAAAUGUUACCUUUUGAUGGCCAUAAGGAGGAUGAUAAUUGUCAUGGAGGAAACAUUUUAGAUGAAACACUAAUGUUGUCUGGAGUAUUUUGGUUAUUGGUGUAACAAUGCUAAACCAUCUCUCCUCGAUUCUUUGAAAUCGGAGGGUUUCUUCUGGGAAGGGGAGACCUUCUUAUAGAUGGCAGAUCAAUUGAGUUGUAUCAUAAUAUAUGAAGUAAUGUAUCGCUUAGUAAGUUUGGUAGGUUGGGUAUAGAAGUUUUGGAUAUCAUCAUAAGCAUCACUAUAUCCCUCCUACUAAGCUAAUGUUGAGCCUCAAGCAUUUUAAAGUCCGAAUUGUUCCUUCUGCUAUGCUACCACCAUUGGCUUCUUGUUUUCUUUGGAAGCAUGGAAUUAUAUAUUGCCUUCUAAAUUGACUGGUCUGAGAGGAUAAAUAGAACUGUAUAUUGAAUAGAAGGCAGGAAUGUGAAUAUUCAAGCUUUUGGAGAUUUGGUUCAAAUCUGGAAUUUGCUGCACUUGCAAGGUUCAUUUGGUUGUAGAGAAACAUUAUGAAAUAAGAAAUUGAAGAGAUAUUCUUUCUGUUUGAAAAGGAAAAGUCUAUUUUUUAAGGUGUCUGGGGCUUUUUAUUGUUUAAAGCACAUACUAAUUUUCUUUCUACUUUUUGGAUGUAGGAAUUAGGAAAACCAAGAGUUGGCUACCUCUUUGGAGGGUGGUCAGAUUGCCACUCAAUUUCUCAUUGAUCGGAUUGGAAAAAGGGGGCAGGGCUUGUAAUAGCUGAAAACGUUCUAUUUUUCAAUUUUUAGAGAUCUUUUGUAUAAGUGGUUUUCCAAGGAAAUAAUGCUUUUCCGUUUCUUUUUCCUGCACCAUGCACAUCCUUACGGACAUCUUUGAGCCUUUGUCCAGUAAUAUUUGUUUCCCCCCAUUGCUUUGAUUGUAGGUUGGUUGAAGAAAAGACUGGAGUAAUUACAGUGAUGACUUAAAUUUGACAAUUUGUGGGGUGAUUCAAAAAUAGUGGGGACUUAUUUGUUUCCCUAAAGAAAAAGAUGAAGAUGCACAAGAAGUUGAAACAAGGGUGUUGAUUCUAUUGGGAAGAUGAUGAAUUUGAUGAGCAAAGCUAAACCAAAUUUCAAACAUAAGGGUUUUUAAUGGUCUAAUUACGAGUUACCUUGGAGUAGGCUUGGGGAAUCCAAGAACGAAAAUUAUUGUGAAAUAUAUCUAAAGUUUUUUGGGGUAGUGAUUGUGAUGCUGCCAAGACGUUAUCCUUUGACUCAGAAGUUGGCUAGGUUUGUGGAGGUUCUUGUGCAAGAGGGGUUGGUGGGGACAAUAGAUGUAAUUGGGGUUCUUUAGUUUUGAAAUCUUCCAAGUUCAAAGCCUAGUAGCUGUGAUGCCCCUGAUCCGAAAUCACGAGUCAGGGUCGCUACAGCUGCCACAUACUCGUAGAAAACUAUUCCCACGAACAUGCAAGGCAUCUCAUCAUGAUAUCAAAAAGCAAGUAGCCAGAUAAAUAAUCAAUUAAGCCUAAAAUUUAAUUAAAUAAAAACCAAACUUAAUAUAUCACAAAAUUUUAGUAAUGUCUAAUAGUCUUAUAUCAAACUUUAAUAAAUUUUUAAUCUAAAAUAAAGAGACCAACACUCUAUUUCUGAUCAAUCUCCCGAAACACAUCUCCGUGCCAUCUAAUCUAUAAAAAUGAUAAGAUAUUGAAUAAUGAGCUGUAUAGCCUGGUAAGCAAUAAACAUUUUAAUUAAAUAAAUCAAGCAAUAGAAUACAUGUAGCAAAAUAAGCAUAUCGAAUACAUCAAAUCAAACUAAAUUUAUACAUGUAGCAUUAUCAAAAUAUUAUGCAUGCGAAUCUUAGUCUCUCUCAAAAUUCAAAUUCACUUCAUAAAUCCAAUUUCUUUCAAAACAUCAAGUUAAUUUCAUCAGCUAUAAAUUAUGACUACAUUUAUACCCUAUGGCUAAGGCAGAUAAUGAGCUUAGAAAAGGCAAAGUGCCAACGUAUAAUCCCUACUAGCGGAAUAUCGAUGUGCCAUUGUAUAACCCCUAGCAGUAGUGUAUCAAUGUACUGGCGCAUAACCCCUACUAGUAGGGUAUCAAUGUACCAGCUCAUGACCCCUGGUGGCGGGGUAUCGAUGUUCCAGCACAUGACUCCCACUAGUAGGGUAUUGUUGUACCAGCGCAUAACCCCCACUAGCGGGGGUAUCGAUACAUAGUCAGGCUAUGAGUCCAAAUCCAUCUUGAAUCAAAGCUUCUUCAAAAGUAAAUUUCAUGUUCCACUUCGAGAAAUACAUAAAGCUAUAUUGUAUCGAAAUCAAUCAAGCAUAAUCUAUAUCAAAAUCCAUCAAGGAUAAUCUAUAUCGAAAUCAAUACAUUUGAUCAUAAAUCAUAUAAUAUUUCAAAAUAACAUAUUCAAUAAUAAAGUACCAUGCAUCAAAUUCAUGAAUCAUAAAUAAUACGACUCGAGGUUAUUAAGUAUCAGUAUUUUAUAAUUUGCUGAUAAAUUUAGAAAAAGGUUACAUUACAUACCUUGCAAGUACAACUAGCCAAAAAAUCCACCAACCUUGAAAAUCUCUCACUUUCGAAAUUUAAAAUUUCAUAUUCUUCUUAUGACAAUCAAUGAAGGAAUGUUAGGCAACCACUUAGUCCAUCCUAGUAUAAUUUUGAAUCUCAUAUCUCAAACAUGUUAGCUAUGUAAACAAUUUUUUUAUCUCCUAUUCUGACUAUACAAGUCUUAUCUAUACAAUCAUUACUCAGUGUAUCCCCUACCGAAGAUUCAAUAUAUAACUUAGUUUUCAUAGAUUCACCCAACUUAACGUCAUCUUAUAAAAGCAGUAGGUAUUAGAAAAUGAGUAGCACUUGAGUCAAACUACAUAAGAAUAAAUAUUGAAACUAGAUUAAUACAUGCCACGAUUGCAUCAGAAGCCUACGCAUCUUAUUAUGUGCGAGCAUAAAUCCUUCCUUACGUCCAGGGUUUCUGACUUCUAUCCUUGUUUUGUUCAGUUGUCUGAGUAGACUGGUUCUCCCUCCUUUGUGGACAUUCUGCUAUUUGUGGACCUUCUGACCACAACCACAAUAUGCACCAAUGUUCCAAUGACAAUCAUUUACAGCAUGAUUGUUGCCACAUCUGGAAUAUUUAUUGCUAUCCGUCUGCCCAAAGUUAUCACUCGCUGAUCUCUUGUUUGAACCCUCAGUGUUUUUAUUGCUCUACCCUUGAGAUUUGCUUGACCUAGUCCUCUUCUUUUGAUUACUUUUUGUUUUCGCUUGUUCUUUAUUGACUUUCCUUUCAAUUAUCAAUACCUUGUUUACCACAACUGUAUAAGUAGUAUAUCUUAUACGACACUGCUUGCUUCCUAAUUUCUGUCCUUAGUCCUAUCCUAUCACGAAUUUAUGAUCUCGAUCUUUCCUAUUCUCAGCUAACCUUGAAAUAAAUUUAGCUAGCUCAAUAAAUCUAGCUUCAUAUUCUGCCAAGAUAUACCUUCUUGUCUUAGAUAAAUUUCUGCUUUUUUGAGUCCUCAUGCUCUGAGGAAAAUACUUAUUAUAAAAUGCCACACGGAAUCUUUUCCAAGUUAGUGGCUCAUAUUUUCAUUCUAGCAUCUGCCACUAGUUGAAUGCCUCACCUUGUAAUAUGUAAGAUGCAUAUAGGAUCUUCUUGUCAUCAUAGCAUCUCGGAACAACAAAUGCCUUCCAGCUUCAUAAACUUUGCAAUAUUACUUUGUUGCUCAUGUUGCUCCCCAUGUCCUUGCUGUUGCCAGGCAUGUUGCUGCAGCUACGUCUAUUGUUGUAUUUACGGCUGUUGUAGCAACUGUUGUUGCAAUUGCUGCUACAUUCGCAUCACUCCAACUAAUAUUUGCAUUAAUUAGGCCAUAUUAGUUUUCGGUUGCUCUAUCUGAUGGUUCCCAAUAUAAUCAAUAAUUUUCUUUUUUUGAGGA